rnacentral:lncRNA from 1 species
CUUUGGAAAUGAUUCCACAUGGUCUCCUAUUUGCUGGAAGUAAACUCUACUUUGUGUGACAACUUCUUCUGAUAGAAGUCUGAUUUUAACCCACCAGGAAGUGAGCCCACUUUGCUUCAGCAACAAAAUUUGGUGACCCAGAUGGGACCUCUGUCCCUCUGAGGUUCCAGUCCUCCAGCCACCCAGGUUCCUAACGGCUGGAGAAUGAGCAGCAGCAGCUCCUCAGGCUAACUCAUUCAUGCUACUAGGGGGCGGGGACUGGACCUCACAAGGCAGCCUCCCUUCUCUGUGCUUGUGCCACCAGCUUGACAUUGCUGCCCCGUCAGGAGACCUAGCAACCACACUGAGAACCUUGCUCAGAGGAUCUCCUGAUGGAGGGGUAUGAGUCCCUUCUAGACAAAGGAUUGCACAGCCCGGAGGAACGGUAGCCAUUCAUCUGUUGACUAGUCAUGUCUGACCUGAUAAGGCUAGAAACUGAUUGCUGCACUCACCUGUGACCACCCAGCUCAAGACAAUAGACUUGCCUCCUGCUACGCCCUAGGCCCUCCGCCCUCCGAGAGAGCAGACCCACUACCUGCUGUGUCCAUCAAGUGCUGUGCCGACAGGGCAAUCUUGUGACUAUUGUGGGG